rnacentral:lncRNA from 1 species
AGGGCCCGAAGGUCGUGGUACCAAAACCCCCCAGCGGAAAAAUGGCCAAAAAACGGGUGGGCUAUAGCCUUGGUGGGGGGCGCGGGCGAAGUUCGUCCGCCGGACUCGGAAUGGGGCGAGACUUUGCGAGGGGCCUCGGGGUGCCCGCGGGAAGUCGCGGGCACAGCCGCGUCCAAAAAUAAGCGCCCGAAGGUCGUGGUGCCAAAACCCCCCAGCGGAAAAAUGGCCAAAAAACGGGUGGGCUAUAACCUUGGUGGGGGGCGCGGGCGAAGUUCGUCCGCCGGACUCGGAAUGGGGCGAGACUUUGAGAGGGGCCUCGGGGUGCCCGCGGGAAGUCGCGGGCACAGCCGCAUCCAAAAAUAAGGGCCCGAAGGUCGUCGUGCCAAAACCCCCCAGCGGAAAAAUGGCCAAAAAACGGGUGGGCUUUAGCCUUGGUGGGGGGCGCGGGCGAAGUUCGUCCGCCGGACUCGGAAUGGGGCGAGACUUUGCGAGGGGCCUCGGGGUACCCGCGGGAAGUCGCGGGCACAGUCGCGCCCAAAAAUAAGCCCCCGAAGGUCGUGGUGCCAAAACCCCCCAGCGGAAAAAUGGCCAAAAAACGGGUGGGCUAUAGCCUUGGUGGGGGGCGCGGGCGAAGUUCGUUCGCCGGACUUGGAAUGGGGCGAGACUUUGCGAGGGGCCUCGCGGUGCCCGCGGGAAGUCGCGGGCACAGCCGCGUCCAGAAAUAAGCGCCCGAAGGUCGUGGUGCCAAAACCCCCCAGCGGAAAAAUGGCCAAAAAACGGGUGGGCUACAGCCUUGGUGGGGGGCGCGGGCGAAGUUCGUCCGCCGGACUCGGAAUGGGGCGAGACUUUGCGAGGGGCCUCGGGGUGCCCGCGGGAAGUCGCGGGCACAGCCGCGUCCAGAAAUAAGUGCCCGAAGGUCGUGGUGCCAAAACCCCCCAGCGGAAAAAUGGCCAAAAAACGGGUGGGCUAUAGCCUUGGUGGGGGGCGCGGGCGAAGUUCGUCCGCCGGACUCGGAAUGGGGCGAGACUUUGCGAGGGGCCUCGGGGUGCCAAAAAUAAGCCGCGGGCAAAGCCGCGCCCAAAAAUAAGCGCCCACAGGUCGUGGUGCCAAAACCCCCCAGCGGAAAAAUGGCCAAAAAACGGGUGGGCUAUAGCCUUGGUGGGGGGCGCUGGCGAAGUUCGUCCGCCGGACUCGGAAUGGGACGAGACUUUGCGAGGGGCCUCGGGGCACCAAAAAUAAGCCGCGGGCAAAGCCGCGCCCAAAAAUAAGCGCCCGAAGGUCGUGGUGCCAAAAGCCCCCAGCGGAAAAAUGGCCAAAAAACGGGUGGGCUAUAGCCUUGGUGGGGGGCGCGGGCGAAGUUCGUCCGCCGGACUUGGAAUGGGGCGAGACUUUGCGAGGGGCCUCGGGGUGCCCGCGGGAAGUCGCAGGCACAGCCGCGUCCAGAAAUAAGCGCCCGAAGGUCGUAGUGCCAAAACCCCCUAGCGGAAAAAUGGCCAAAAAACGGGUGGGCUAUAGCCUUGUUGGGGGGCGCGGGCGAAGUUUGUCCGCCGGACUCGGAAUGGGGCGAGACUUUGCGCGGGGCCUCGGGGCGCCAAAAAUAACCAGCGGGCAAAGCCGCGCCCAAAAAUAAGUGCCCGAAGGUCGUGGUGCCAAAACCCCCCAGCGGAAAAAUGGCCAAAAAACGGGUGGGCUAUAGCCUUGGUGGGGGGCGCGGGCGAAGUUCGUCCGCCGGACUCGGAAUGGGGCGAGACUUUGCGAGGGGCCUCGGGGCACCAAAAAUAAGCCGCGGGCAAAGCCGCGCCCAAAAAUAAGUGCCCGAAGGUCGUGGUGCCAAAAGCCCCCAGCGGAAAAAUGGCCAAAAAACGGGUGGGCUAUAGCCUUGGUGGGGGGCGCGGGCGAAGUUCGUCCUCCGGACUUGGAAUGGGGCGAGACAUUGCGAGGGGCCUCGGGGUGCCAGCGGGAAGUCGCGGGCACAGCCGCGUCCAAAAAUAAGCGCCCGAAGGUCGUGGUGCCAAAACCCCCCAGCGGAAAAAUGGCCAAAAAACGGGUGGGCUAUAGCCUUGGUGGGGGGCGCGGGCGAAGUUCGUCCGCCGGACUCGGAAUGGGGCGAGACUUUGCGAGGGGCCUUGGGGUGCCAAAAAUAAAUCGCGGGCAAAGCCGCGCCCAAAAAUAAGCGCCCAAAGGUCGUGGUCCUAAAACCCCCCAGCGGAAAAAUGGCCAAAAAACGGGUGGGCUAUAGCCUUGGUGGGGGGCGCGGGCGAAGUUCGUCCUCCGGACUUGGAAUGGGGCGAGACAUUGCGAGGGGCCUCGGGGUGCCAGCGGGAAGUCGCGGGCACAGCCGCGUCCAGAAAUAAGCGCCCGACGGUCGUGGUGCCAAAACCCCCCAGCGGAAAAAUGGCCAAAAAACGGGUGGGCUAUAGCCUUGGUGGGGGGCGCGGGCGAAGUUCGUCCGCCGGACUCGGAAUGGGGCGAGACUUUGCGAGGGGCCUCGGGGUGCCAAAAAUAAGCCGCGGGCAAAGCCGCACCCAAAGGUCGUGGUGCCAAAACCCCCCAGCGGAAAAAUGGCCAAAAAACGGGUGGGCUAUAGCGUUGGUGGGGGGCGCGGGCGAAGUUCGUCCGCCGGACUCGGAAUGGGGCGAGACUUUGCGCGGGGCCUCGGAGCGCCAAAAAUAAGCCGCGGGCAAAGCCGCGCCCAAAAAUAAGCGCCCGAAGGUCGUGGUGCCAAAACCCCCCAGCGGAAAAAUGGCCAAAAAACGGGUGGGCUAUAGCCUUGGUGGGGGGCGCGGGCGACGUUCGUCCGCCGGACUUCGAAUGGGGCGAGACUUUGCGCGGGGCCUCGGGGCGCCAAAAAUAAGCCGCGGGCAAAGCCGCGCCCAAAAAUAAGCGCCCGAAGGUCGUGGUGCCAAAACCCCCCAGCGGAAAAAUGGCCAAAAAACGGGUGGGCUAUAGCCUUGGUGGGGGGCGCGGGCGAAGUUCGUCCGCCGGACUCGGAAUGGGGCGAGACUUUGCGCGGGGCCUCGGGGCGCCAAAAAUAAGCCGCGGGCAAAGCCGCGCCCAAAAAUAAGCGCCCGAAGGUCGUGGUGCCAAAAGCCCCCAGCGGAAAAAUGGCCAAAAAACGGGUGGGCUAUAGCCUUGGUGGGGGGCGUGGGCGAAGUUCGUCCGCCGGACUAGGAAUGGGGCAAGACUUUGCGAGGGGCCUCGGGGUGCCUGCGGGAAGUCGCGGGCACAGCCGCGCCCAAAAAUAAGCGCCCGAAGGUCGUGUUGCCAAAACCCCCCAGCGGAAAAAUGGCCAAAAAACGGGUGGGCUAUAGCCUUGGUGGGGGGCGCGGGCGAAGUUCGUCCGCCGGACUCGGAAUGGGGCGAGACUUUACGAGGUGCCUCGCGGUGCCAAAAAUAAGCCGCGGGCAAAGCCGCGCCCAAAAAUAAGCGCCCGAAGGUCGUGGUGCCAAAACCCCCCAGUGGAAAAAUGGCCAAAAAACGGGUGGGCUAUAGCCUUGGUGGGGGGCGCGGGCGAAGUUCGUCCGCCGGACUUGGAAUGGGGAGAGACUUUGCGAGGGGCCUCGGGGUGCCCGUAGGAAGUCGCGGGCACAGCCGCGUCCAGAAAUAAGCGCCCGAAGGUCGUGGUGCCAAAACCCCCCAGCGGAAAAAUGGCCAAAAAACGGGUGGGCUAUAGCCUUGCUGGGGGGCGCGGGCGAAGUUCGUCCGCCGGACUCGGAAUGGGGCGAGACUUUGCGCGGGGCCUCGGGGCGCCAAAAAUAAGCCGCGGGCAAAGCCGCGCCCAAAAAUAAGCGCCCGAAGGUCGUGGUGCCAAAACCCCCCAGCGGAAAAAUGGCCAAAAAACGGGUGGGCUAUAGCCUUGGUGGGGGGCGCGGGCGAAGUUCGUCCGCCGGACUCGGAAUGGGGCGAGACUUUGCGAGGGGCCUCGGGGCAACAAAAAUAGGCCGCGGGCAAAGCCGCGCCCAAAAAUAAGCGCCCGAAGGUCGUGGUGCCAAAAGCCCCCAGCGGAAAAAUGGCCAAAAAACGGGUGGGCUAUAGCCUUGGUGGGGGGCGCGGGCGAAGUUCGUCCGCCGGACUUGGAAUGGGGCGAGACUUUGCGAGGGGCCUCGGGGUGCCCGCGGGAAGUCGCGGGCACAGCCGCGUCCAGAAAUAAGCGCCCGAAGGUCGUAGUGCCAAAACCCCCUAGCGGAAAAAUGGCCAAAAAACGGGUGGGCUAUAGCCUUGUUGGGGGGCGCGGGCGAAGUUUGUCCGCCGGACUCGGAAUGGGGCGAGACUUUGCGCGGGGCCUCGGGGCGCCAAAAAUAACCAGCGGGCAAAGCCGCGCCCAAAAAUAAGUGCCCGAAGGUCGUGGUGCCAAAACCCCCCAGCGGAAAAAUGGCCAAAAAACGGGUGGGCUAUAGCCUUGGUGGGGGGCGCGGGCGAAGUUCGUCCGCCGGACUCGGAAUGGGGCGAGACUUUGCGAGGGGCCUCGGGGCACCAAAAAUAAGCCGCGGGCAAAGCCGCGCCCAAAAAUAAGUGCCCGAAGGUCGUGGUGCCAAAAGCCCCCAGCGGAAAAAUGGCCAAAAAACGGGUGGGCUAUAGCCUUGGUGGGGGGCGCGGGCGAAGUUCGUCCUCCGGACUUGGAAUGGGGCGAGACAUUGCGAGGGGCCUCGGGGUGCCAGCGGGAAGUCGCGGGCACAGCCGCGUCCAGAAAUAAGCGCCCGAAGGUCGUGGUGCCAAAACCCCCCAGCGGAAGAAUGGCCAAAAAACGGGUGGGCUAUAGCCUUGGUGGGGGGCGCGGGCGAAGUUCGUCCGCCGGACUCGGAAUGGGGCGAGACUUUGCGAGGGGCCUUGGGGUGCCAAAAAUAAAUCGCGGGCAAAGCCGCGCCCAAAAAUAAGCGCCCAAAGGUCGUGGUCCUAAAACCCCCCAGCGGAAAAAUGGCCAAAAAACGGGUGGGCUAUAGCCUUGGUGGGGGGCGCGGGCGAAGUUCGUCCUCCGGACUUGGAAUGGGGCGAGACAUUGCGAGGGGCCUCGGGGUGCCAGCGGGAAGUCGCGGGCACAGCCGCGUCCAGAAAUAAGCGCCCGACGGUCGUGGUGCCAAAACCCCCCAGCGGAAAAAUGGCCAAAAAACGGGUGGGCUAUAGCCUUGGUGGGGGGCGCGGGCGAAGUUCGUCCGCCGGACUCGGAAUGGGGCGAGACUUUGCGAGGGGCCUCGGGGUGCCAAAAAUAAGCCGCGGGCAAAGCCGCACCCAAAGGUCGUGGUGCCAAAACCCCCCAGCGGAAAAAUGGCCAAAAAACGGGUGGGCUAUAGCGUUGGUGGGGGGCGCGGGCGAAGUUCGUCCGCCGGACUCGGAAUGGGGCGAGACUUUGCGCGGGGCCUCGGAGCGCCAAAAAUAAGCCGCGGGCAAAGCCGCGCCCAAAAAUAAGCGCCCGAAGGUCGUGGUGCCAAAACCCCCCAGCGGAAAAAUGGCCAAAAAACGGGUGGGCUAUAGCCUUGGUGGGGGGCGCGGGCGAAGUUCGUCCGCCGGACUCGGAAUGGGACGAGACUUUGCGAGGGGCCUCGGACUGCCCACGGGAAGUUGCGGGCACAGCCGCGUCCAAAAAUAAGCGCCCGAAGGUCGUGGUGCCAAAACCCCCCAGCGGAAAAAUACCCAAAAAACGGGUGGGCUAUAGCCUUGGUGGGGGGCGCGGGCGAAGUUCGUCCGCCGGACUCGGAAUGGGGCGAGACUUUGCGAGGGGCCUCGGGGUGCUAAAAAUAAGCCGCGGGCAAGGCCGCGCCCAAAAAUAAGCUCCCGAAGGUCGUGGUGCCAAAACCCCCCAGCAGAAAAAUGGCCAAAAAACGGGUGGGCUAUAGCCUUGGUGGGGGGCGCGGGCGAAGUUCGUCCGCCGGACUUGGAAUGGGGCGAGACUUUGCGAGGGGCCUCGGGGUGCCAGCGGGAAGUCGCGGGCACAGCCGCGUCCAGAAAUAAGCGCCCGAAGGUCGUGGUGCCAAAACCCCCCAGCGGAAAAAUGGCCAAAAAACGGGUGGGCUAUAGCCUUGGUGGGGGGCGCGGGCGAAGUUCGUCCGCCGGACUCGGAAUGGGCCGAGACUUUGCGAGGGGCCUCGGGGUGCCAAAAAUAAAUCGCGGGCAAAGCCGCGCCCAAAAAUAAGCGCCCGAAGGUCGUGGUCCUAAAACCCCCCAGCGGAAAAAUGGCCAAAAAACGGGUGGGCUACAGCCUUGGUGGGGGGCGCGGACGAAGUUCGUCCGCCGGAGUCGGAAUGGUACGAGACUUUGCGAGGGGCCUCGGGGCACCAAAAAUAAGCCGCGGGCAAAGCCGCGCCCAAAAAUAAGCCGCGGGCAAAGCCGCGCCCAAAAAUAAGCGCCCGAAGGUCGUGGUGCCAAAACCCCCCAGCGGAAAAAUGGCCAAAAAACGGGUGGGCUAUAGCCUUGGUGGGGGGCGCAGGCGAAGUUCGUCCGCCGGACUCGGAAUGGGGCGAGACUUUGCGAGGGGCCUCGGGGUGCCCGCGGGAAGUUGCGGGCACAGCCGCGCCCAAAAAUAAGCGCCCGAAGGUCGUGGUGCCAAAACCCCCCAGCGGAAAAAUGGCCAAAAAACGGGUGGGCUAUAGCCUUGGUGGGGGGCGCGGGCGAAGUUCGUCCGCCGGACUCGGAAUGGGACGAGACUUUGCGAGGGGCCUCGGACUGCCCACGGGAAGUUGCGGGCACAGCCGCGUCCAAAAAUAAGCGCCCGAAGGUCGUGGUGCCAAAACCCCCCAGCGGAAAAAUAGCCAAAAAACGGGUGGGCUAUAGCCUUGGUGGGGGGCGCGGGCGAAGUUCGUCCGCCGGACUCGGAAUGGGGCGAGACUUUGCGAGGGGCCUCGGGGUGCCAAAAAUAAGCUGCGGGCAAGGCCGCGCCCAAAAAUAAGCUCCCGAAGGUCGUGGUGCCAAAACCCCCCAGCGGAAAAAUGGCCAAAAAACGGGUGGGCUAUAGCCUUGGUGGGGGGCGCGGGCAAAGUUCGUCCGCCGGACUGGGAAUGGGGCGAGACUUUGCGAGGGGCCUCGGGUGCCCGAGGGAAGUGGCGGGCACAGCCGCGGCCAGAAAUAAUCGCCCGAAGGUCGUGGUGCCAAAACCCCCUAGCGGAAAAAUGGCCAAAAAACGGGUGGGCUAUAGCCUUGGUGGGGGGCGCGGGCGAAGUUCGUCCGCCGGACUCGGAAUGGGGCGAGACUUUGCGCGGGGCCUCGGGGCGCCAAAAAUAAGCCGCGGGCAAAGCCGCGCCCAAAAAUAAGCGCCCGAAGGUCGUGGUGCCAAAACCCCCCAGCGGAAAAAUGGCCAAAAAACGGGUGGGCUAUAGCCUUGGUGGGGGGCGCGGGCGAAGUUCGUCCGCCGGACUCGGAAUGGGGCGAGACUUUGCGAGGGGCCUCGGGGUGCCAAAAAUAAGCCGCGGGCAAAGCCGCACCCAAAGGUCGUGGUGCCAAAACCCCCCAGCGGAAAAAUGGCCAAAAAACGGGUGGGCUAUAGCGUUGGUGGGGGGCGCGGGCGAAGUUCGUCCGCCGGACUCGGAAUGGGGCGAGACUUUGCGCGGGGCCUCGGAGCGCCAAAAAUAAGCCGCGGGCAAAGCCGCGCCCAAAAAUAAGCGCCCGAAGGUCGUGGUGCCAAAACCCCCCAGCGGAAAAAUGGCCAAAAAACGGGUGGGCUAUAGCCUUGGUGGGGGGCGCGGGCGAAGUUCGUCCGCCGGACUCGGAAUGGGACGAGACUUUGCGAGGGGCCUCGGACUGCCCACGGGAAGUUGCGGGCACAGCCGCGUCCAAAAAUAAGCGCCCGAAGGUCGUGGUGCCAAAACCCCCCAGCGGAAAAAUACCCAAAAAACGGGUGGGCUAUAGCCUUGGUGGGGGGCGCGGGCGAAGUUCGUCCGCCGGACUCGGAAUGGGGCGAGACUUUGCGAGGGGCCUCGGGGUGCCAAAAAUAAGCCGCGGGCAAGGCCGCGCCCAAAAAUAAGCUCCCGAAGGUCGUGGUGCCAAAACCCCCCAGCAGAAAAAUGGCCAAAAAACGGGUGGGCUAUAGCCUUGGUGGGGGGCGCGGGCGAAGUUCGUCCGCCGGACUUGGAAUGGGGCGAGACAUUGCGAGGGGCCUCGGGGUGCCAGCGGGAAGUCGCGGGCACAGCCGCGUCCAGAAAUAAGCGCCCGAAGGUCGUGGUGCCAAAACCCCCCAGCGGAAAAAUGGCCAAAAAACGGGUGGGCUAUAGCCUUGGUGGGGGGCGCGGGCGAAGUUCGUCCGCCGGACUCGGAAUGGGCCGAGACUUUGCGAGGGGCCUCGGGUUGCCAAAAAUAAAUCGCGGGCAAAGCCGCGCCCAAAAAUAAGCGCCCAAAGGUCGUGGUCCUAAAACCCCCCAGNNN